rnacentral:lncRNA from 1 species
AGUAAUUCCUCUUCAGUCUAGAGGCGGGGGUGGAAGAAGCGUGCGUUUGUCUCAGUGACUAAGACUGCGUGCCAAAUUAGAAUGGAGGCCCGAGGCUAUUCUCUUGCCCAGUGACUGUAAUCAUCGAGUGAGCCUUCACUGCCUAGUGACUCAUCAAAGCCACGACAGUGAGGGAGCCUGUUAGGACUUUAUACAGUAACAUGAAACUUGUGAAAUCCCUAACCCAGGAAGCUUGGGCCUUGGGGCCUCCAGAAGACCCUAUUAACCUUGCUCUGGGGGCUGCCUUAUAGAUUUCUGACCUGCCAGGGAAGAGCACUUCCCGUCAUUGCUCAUCUCAGACUGAGAAAGAGAAAGGAAAAAGAGUCAUCGACCAUCUACAGUGAUACAAGGAAACGGUGUCGACUACCCCCUCAGACUGCAAAGCACUGUCCAAAUGUGAUAUGUCUACUGAGAAGAGAGCUUGCUGAGAGGUGUUCUCAACCUUCUGCAGGAUACAGAUUUCUCCUAAACCCUACUGUUUUUCCCUAGGACACUACAGAUUUAGUGAGAAUGUAAAGGAGAUAACAAAGGAGAAGCUAAAGAUUGUCAGCUCACACCUCCUUCCUGUAUAGAAUGUCCUUCGUCUGGAAUCUGGCAGAAGAAUCAUUCAAAGAAGGGUAAAAAUCUUAAGAAAAAAUGAACAAUAAACAUUGUAAAAUGAUUUGCUCCA